CAUCACUGGUGUUCGGGUUGUCAUGCCAAUGGCACUGCCCGGUAGCUAAAUGCGGAAGAGAUAAGUGCUGAAAGCAUCUAAGCACGAAACUUGCCCCGAGAUGAGUUCUCCCUGAGACUUUAAGUCUCCUGAAGGAACGUUGAAGACGACGACGUUGAUAGGCCGGGUGUGUAAGCGCAGCGAUGCGUUGAGCUAACCGGUACUAAUGAACCGUGAGGCUUAACCUUACAACGCCGAAG
rnacentral:rRNA from 1 species